rnacentral:rRNA from 1 species
AGUGAACGCUGGCGGUAGGCCUAACACAUGCAAGUCGAACGGCAGCACAGUAAGAGCUUGCUCUUACGGGUGGCGAGUGGCGGACGGGUGAGGAAUACAUCGGAAUCUACUUUUUCGUGGGGGAUAACGUAGGGAAACUUACGCUAAUACCGCAUACGACCUACGGGUGAAAGCAGGGGAUCUUCGGACCUUGCGCGAUUGAAUGAGCCGAUGUCGGAUUAGCUAGUUGGCGGGGUAAAGGCCCACCAAGGCGACGAUCCGUAGCUGGUCUGAGAGGAUGAUCGGCCACCUUGGAACUGAGACACGGUCCAGACUCCUACGGGAGGCAGCAGUGGGGUAUAUUGGACAAUGGGCGCAAGCCUGAUCCAGCCAUCCCGCGUGGGUGAAGAAGGCCUUCGGGUUGUAAAGCCCUUUUGUUGGGAAAGAAAAGCAGCAGGUUAAUACCCCGCUGUUCUGACGGUACCAAAAGAAUAAGCACCGGCUAACUUCG